GGCGGCGUGCUUAACACAUGCAAGUCGAGUGCGCGUUCCGUAGCAAUACGGAAUGGCGCACGGCGCACGGGUGCGUAACACGUGGGUAAUCUGCCCUCUGAUGGGGAAUAACUCGCCGAAAGGCGAGCUAAUUCCGCAUAAUAUUCCGAAAAGUUCGCUUUUUGGACUGAAAGGCGUAAGUCGUCGGAGGAGGAGCCCGCGCACGAUUAGCUAGUUGGUAGGGUAAUGGCCUACCAAGGCUUUGAUCGUUAGCUGGUCUGAGAGGAUGGCCAGCCACACUGGAACUGAGACACGGUCCAGACUCCUACGGGAGGCAGCAGUGGGGAAUCUUGCACAAUGGGCGAAAGCCUGAUGCAGCGACGCCGCGUGGGGGAUGAAGCUUUUCGGAGUGUAAACCCCUUUCGAUCCGGACGAAUGCCUCGCAAGAGGAGUGACGGUACGGAUAUAAGAAGCCCCGGCUAACUACGUGCCAGCAGCCGCGGUAAUACGUAGGGGGCCAGCGUUGUUCGGAAUUACUGGGUGUAAAGGGUUCGUA
rnacentral:rRNA from 1 species